rnacentral:rRNA from 1 species
CAGCAGCCGGGUAAUACGUAGGUAGCAAGCGUUGUCCGGAAUUAUUGGGCGUAAAGGGCUCGCAGGCGGUUUCUUAAGUCUGAUGUGAAAGCCCCCGGCUCAACCGGGGAGGGUCAUUGGAAACUGGGAAACUUGAGUGCAGAAGAGGAGAGUGGAAUUCCACGUGUAGCGGUGAAAUGCGUAGAGAUGUGGAGGAACACCGGUGGCGAAGGCGACUCUCUGGUCUGUAACUGACGCUGAGGAGCGAAAGCUAGGGGAGCAAAUGGGAUUAGAUACCCCAGUAGUCCCUGUCUCUUAUACC